UUGGAGGGCAAGUCUGGUGCCAGCAGCCGCGGUAAUUCCAGCUCCAAUAGCGUAUAUUAAAGUUGUUGCAGUUAAAAAGCUCGUAGUUGAAUUUCGGGGUUAGUAGGCUGGUCAUGCCACAGGUAUGCACUGGUCUUACUGAUUCCCCCUUCCUGAUGAACCGUAAUGCCAUUAAUUUGGUGUUGCGGGGAGUCUGGACUGCUACUUUGAAAAAAUUAGAGUGUUUAAAGCAGGCUAACGCUUGAAUACAUUAGCAUGGAAUAACGAAAUAGGACGUUCGAUCUUAUUUUGUUGGUUUCUAGGAUUGACGUAAUGAUUAAUAGGGAUAGUUGGGGGCAUUAGUAUUCAAUUGUCAGAGGUGAAAUUCUUGGAUUUAUUGAAGACUAACUACUGCGAAAGCAUUUGCCAAGGAUGUUUUCAUUAAUCAAGAACGAAAGUUAGGGGAUCGAAGACGAUCAGAUACCGUCGUAGUCUUAACCAUAAACUAUGCCGACUAGGGAUCGGAUGAUGUUAAUUUUAUAAUGACUCAUUCGGCGCCUUACGGGAAAC
rnacentral:rRNA from 1 species